rnacentral:rRNA from 1 species
AAGGAUCAUUAAUGAAACUUCAAGUCGGCUGUUCUGUGCUGGUGGCAACACAUGUGCACGUUCAGUCGCAAUCCACACACCUGUGCACUUUGACUCUGAGCACCGCCGGUAACACGGCAGAAGGUUUGAGAUGAAGGUCUUAACCCGGUACUCGAGUAGUUUACACACUCUGUAUGUAAUAGAAUGUAACUGUACAAUGUACAACUAUAAACAACUUUCAACAACGGAUCUCUUGGCUCUCGCAUCGAUGAAGAACGCAGCGAAAUGCGAUAAGUAAUGUGAAUUGCAGAAUUCAGUGAAUCAUCGAAUCUUUGAACGCACCUUGCACCCUUUGGUAUUCCGAAGGGUACACCCGUUUGAGUGUCAUUGUAAUCUCACUCCAACACCUUUAUUGAUGUUGGAUGUGGACUUGGAUGUUGUCGUGUUCAACGACUCGUCUUAAAUGCCUGAGUGUACCCUGCUUUGCAGCGUAUCAGUGUGAUAAACAUCUUCACUGUUAAGUCUUUCGGGACACGCUUGUGUUGUAGGCUCUAUGCUUUCCAACCGUCCUCUGGACAAUCUCUGACAAUUUGACCUCAAAUCGGGUGGGACUACCCGCUGAACUUAAGCAUAUCAAUAAGCGGAGGAAAAGAAACUAACAAGGAUUCCCCUAGUAACGGCGAGUGAAGAGGGAAAAGCUCAAAUUUUGAAUCUGGUGUCUUUGACUCCCGAGUUGUAAUCUAGAGAAGUGUUUUCCGCRUUGGACCGUGCAAAAGUUCCCUGGAACGGGGCGUCAUAGAGGGUGAGAAUCCCGUAUAUGGCACGGACUACCAUUGCUAUGUGAUACACUCUCAACGAGUCGAGUUGUUUGGGAAUGCAGCUCAAAAUGGGUGGUAAAUUCCAUCUAAAGCUAAAUAUUGGCGAGAGACCGAUAGCGAACAAGUACCGUGAGGGAAAGAUGAAAAGCACUUUGGAAAGAGAGUGAAACAGUACGUGAAAUUGUUGAAAGGGAAGCGUUUGAAGUCAGUCACGUCUGUCGGAAUUCAGCCUGGCUUCUGCCUGGUGUAUUUUCUGGCUGACGGGUCAGCAUCAAUUUCGACCGAGGGAAAAAGACUUGGGGAAUGUGGCUGUCUUYGGGCAGUGUUAUAGACCCUUGUUGUAURUCUCGGUUGGGAUUGAGGAAYGCAGCGCGCCUUUUGGCCGGGGUUCGCGCCCUCGGUACGCGCUUAGGA